rnacentral:rRNA from 1 species
CCUGCACUAAAGCAAGAAUACCCGCCGAACUUAAGCAUAUCAUUAAGCGGAGGAAAAGAAACUAACCAGGAUUCCCCCAGUAACAGCGAGCGAACAGGGACGAGCCCAUCCAUGAAGCACCGCGCGCGCGACGGACGCUUGCUCGGUGCCCUUUGGGGUUACUGAGGCCACGCUAUCCUGAUCAGCCGCAUCACGGUGAAGUUACAUUGAAGGUUACAACCAGAGAGGGUGCCAGUCCCGUAACCGUGAUGCGCUGCCGUGUGCCCAACCCCCGGUCGGUAAUACGACGGGGAACGGCGUAUCAGCCCCGUAGCCUCAAGAGAGUCGAGCUGCUUGAGAGUGCAGCUCAAAGAAGGUGGUAGCUCCCAUCUAAGGCUAAAUACAUGCAAGAGGCCGAUAGCGAACAAGUACCGCGAGGGAAAGAUGAAAUAGCACCCCGGGAAGGGGGGUGAAAAGAUCCUGAAAUCAGCAAGGUGGAAGCAUUCGCGGAUACCAUUCUGCCUGCCGCAUAGCCCGGGUUUGAUCGCUCGGGUCGCGUCACGGAUCCAGUACCGAUCAUGAAGGCCGGGAGCUACCCGUCACGCGUGACGGGUCGUGCACUCCCCCGCCCACCCGAUCGCGGUAACGCAGUCGACACCGGUGGAUGUAUCACCGGUGUGCACGUACUGGGGAAAUAUCCAUGAAUGACCCGUCUUGUAACACGGACCAAGGAGUCUAAC